AGAGUUUGAUCCUGGCUCAGGAUGAACGCUAGCGGCGUGCUUUAGGCAUGCAAGUAGAACGAUUUGUCGCAAGACAGAAAGUUGCGAACGGCUGAGUAACACGUAGGAAUCUACCCUUUGGUGGGGAAUACCUUGUCGAAAGACAGGUUAAUACCGCAUAAGUCCCGAGAGCAAUCGAGGGAGAAAGGACAUAACUGUCCACCGAAGGAGGAGCCUGCGGCCUAUCAGCUUGUUGGUAGGGUAAUGGCCUACCAAGGCUACGACGGGUAGGGGGCGUGAGAGCGUGUCCCCCCAGAAUGGUACUGAGACACGGACCAUACACCUACGGGUGGCAGCAACCGGGAAUAGUGCGCAAUGGACGAAAGUCUGACGCCGCGACGCCGCGUGUGGGAUGAAUGCCUUCGGGUUGUAAACCACUUUUGCAGUAAGGGAGACCGAACUGAGAAUAAGCACCGGCUAACUCCGUGCCAGCAGCAGCGGUAAUACGGAGGGUGCAAGCGUUAUCCGGAUUUAUUGGGUGUAAAGAGUUCGUAGGCGAUUCUUUAAGUUAUCUUUCAAAGACCGGGGCUCAACCUCGGAAAGGGGGGUAAUACUGAAGAAAUUGAAAUGUUUUGGGGCUACUGGAACUUGCGGUGUAGGGGUGAAAUCCGUUGAUAUCGCAAGGAACACCGAGGGCGAAGGCGGGUAGCUGGGAACUAUUUGACGCUGAGGAACGAAAGCCAGGGGAGCAAAAGGGAUUAGAGACCCCUGUAGUCCUGGCCGUAAACGAUGCUCGCUAGCGAUGUGUUCUUUAUUGAAUGCGUCGCGUAAGCUAACGCGUUAAGCGAGCCGCCUGGGGAGUACGAACGCAAGUUUAAAACUCAAAGGAAUUGACGGGGACCCGCACAACCAGUGGAGCAUGUGGUUUAAUUCGAGACGGACCGAAGAACCUUACCUGGUCUUGACAUACUAGCUGCACUCCGAUAGAAAUAUUGGAUUCUUUUGAAGGUGCUAGUACAGGUGUUGCAUGGCUAUCGUCAGCUCGUGCCGUGGGGUGUUCCCUUCAGUGGGGUAACGAGCGCAACCCUUGCCGUAUGUUAAAUUGUUCAUACGGGACUGCUCGAGUCAUUCUCGGGAGGAAGGAGAGGACGACGUUAAGUCAGCAUGGCCCUUAUGACCAGGGCUACACGCAUGCUACAAUGGAGCCGACAAUGGGUUGCCAAGGAGUAAUCCGGAGCUAAUCCCAUCAAACGGCUUCUCAGUGGGGAUUGAGGGCUGCAACCCGCCCUCAUGAACGUGGAAUUGGUAGUAAUCGCGAAUCAGCAAAGUCGCGGUGAAUACGUUCUCGGGUCUUGUACACACCGCCCGUCAAGUCAGCAAAGUUGGAGAUACCCGAAUGUCUAUUGUAUAGGCAGAAGGUAGAGUCAGCGAUGAGGAUUAAGUCGUAACAAGGUAACC
rnacentral:rRNA from 1 species